UUUAAUUAAGAGUUUGAUCCUGGCUCAGGACGAACGCUGGCGGCACGCUUAACACAUGCAAGUCGAACGAGAGAAGAGGAGCUUGCUUUUCUGAUCUAGUGGCGGACGGGUGAGUAACACGUGAGCAAUCUGCCUUUCAGAGGGGGAUACCGAUUGGAAACGAUCGUUAAUACCGCAUAAUAUAAUUGAACCGCAUGAUUUGAUUAUCAAAGAUUUAUCGCUGAAAGAUGAGCUCGCGUCUGAUUAGCUAGUUGGUAAGGUAACGGCUUACCAAGGCGACGAUCAGUAGCCGGACUGAGAGGUUGAUCGGCCACAUUGGGACUGAGACACGGCCCAGACUCCUACGGGAGGCAGCAGUGGGGAAUAUUGCACAAUGGAGGAAACUCUGAUGCAGCGAUGCCGCGUGAGGGAAGAAGGUUUUAGGAUUGUAAACCUCUGUCUUCAGGGACGAAAAAAGACGGUACCUGAGGAGGAAGCUCCGGCUAACUACGUGCCAGCAGCCGCGGUAAUACGUAGGGAGCGAGCGUUGUCCGGAAUUACUGGGUGUAAAGGGAGCGUAGGCGGGAUCGCAAGUCAGAUGUGAAAACUAUGGGCUUAACCCAUAAACUGCAUUUGAAACUGUGGUUCUUGAGUGAAGUAGAGGUAAGCGGAAUUCCUAGUGUAGCGGUGAAAUGCGUAGAUAUUAGGAGGAACAUCAGUGGCGAAGGCGGCUUACUGGGCUUUAACUGACGCUGAGGCUCGAAAGCGUGGGGAGCAAACAGGAUUAGAUACCCUGGUAGUCCACGCCGUAAACGAUGAUUACUAGGUGUGGGGGGACUGACCCCUUCCGUGCCGCAGCAAACGCAAUAAGUAAUCCACCUGGGGAGUACGACCGCAAGGUUGAAACUCAAAGGAAUUGACGGGGGCCCGCACAAGCAGUGGAGUAUGUGGAUUAAUUCGAAGCAACGCGAAGAACCUUACCAGGUCUUGACAUCGUAUGCAUAGCUCAGAGAUGAGUGAAAUCUCUUCGGAGACAUAUAGACAGGUGGUGCAUGGUUGUCGUCAGCUCGUGUCGUGAGAUGUUGGGUUAAGUCCCGCAACGAGCGCAACCCUUACUGUUAGUUGCUACGCAAGAGCACUCUAGCAGGACUGCCGUUGACAAAACGGAGGAAGGUGGGGAUGACGUCAAAUCAUCAUGCCCCUUAUGACCUGGGCCUCACACGUACUACAAUGGCUGUAAACAGAGGGAUGCAAAGCCGCGAGGUGGAGCGAACCCCUAAAAGCAGUCUUAGUUCGGAUUGUAGGCUGCAACCCGCCUACAUGAAGUCGGAAUUGCUAGUAAUCGCAGAUCAGCAUGCUGCGGUGAAUACGUUCCCGGGCCUUGUACACACCGCCCGUCACGCCAUGGGAGUCGGUAACACCCGAAGCCUGUAGUCUAACCGUAAGGAGGACGCAGUCGAAGGUGGGAUUGAUGACUGGGGUGAAGUCGUAACAAGGUAGCCGUAUCGGAAGGUGCGGCUGGAUCACCUCCUUUCUA
rnacentral:rRNA from 1 species